rnacentral:sRNA from 1 species
ACUCAACGAUCAAUUCUUUAAAAAGGGUGAGUUGAAGUUGUAAAAUCGUGCUGUUAAUACUUUGGUAUUUAGACAGAUUUUUGAUCAGCUUGUUAGCCCUAAACUUGUUUUUAAGGAGUUU